GACAAGCAUAUGACUACUGGCAGGAUCAACCAGGUAGCACGUCCUCGUCGACGAGCCGACACGGAGAAGGGCACGCGCCAGCCAGCUUGUGGCAUGGAAGCGGCAAUCACCGGGCCGACUGUCGUACAUUCCGUGAGCUUUCGUUAGGGACGCAACCGCAACGGGGCACGAGCCUUUAUCAUUGGCAACAUCCGAGACCAAUAGUGCAAGCGACGUGGCCUUGGAAGCACCGGGCACGUAGGGCACCGGCACCACGAGGCAACGCCGCAAGAACUAUUAGGCCGCAGCGGAACACCCUUGGGGGUCCACAGCGAGGCAACCGUGUAUGAAGCGCAACUUCCCAUAGUUUGGGUACCAGCAUGCAAGCACUCGUCGGUCGAGCGGAACGGUAGAACCGCUAGAAUGAUGGGACACCGGCACCAACAGUCGGCCGCACAUCAGCGGGGGUCCUGCAGGUAGACACGGGUCCAAGACAACUCAUGCGCUCGCGUAGCCAACUGGCCG
rnacentral:misc_RNA from 1 species